rfam:Dipodomys ordii contig_21525, whole genome shotgun sequence.
AGGUGGCUGGCUCAGUGGCAGAGUGUUUGCCUUGCAUGCAUGAGGCCCUGGGUUCUAUUCCCUAGCACUUA